UACGGGGGGAGCAAGCGUUGUUCGGAUUUACUGGGCGUAAAGGGCGCGUAGGCGGUCGUGACAAGUCACUUGUGAAAUCUCCGGGCUUAACUCGGAACGGUCAAGUGAUACUGUCGGACUAGAGUACAGAAGGGGCAACUGGAAUUCCCGGUGUAGCGGUGAAAUGCGUAGAUAUCAAGAGGAACACCUGAGGUGAAGACGGGUUGCUGGGCUGAUACUGACGCUGAGGCGCGAAAGCUAGGGUAGCAAACGGG
rnacentral:rRNA from 1 species